rnacentral:rRNA from 1 species
GAUGAACGCUGGCGGCGUGCCUAAUACAUGCAAGUCGAGCGAACAGACGAGGAGCUUGCUCCUCUGACGUUAGCGGCGGACGGGUGAGUAACACGUGGAUAACCUACCUAUAAGACUGGGAUAACUUCGGGAAACCGGAGCUAAUACCGGAUAACAUGUUGAACCGCAUGGUUCAACAGUGAAAGACGGUCUUGCUGUCACUUAUAGAUGGAUCCGCGCCGCAUUAGCUAGUUGGUAAGGUAACGGCUUACCAAGGCAACGAUGCGUAGCCGACCUGAGAGGGUGAUCGGCCACACUGGAACUGAGACACGGUCCAGACUCCUACGGGAGGCAGCAGUAGGGAAUCUUCCGCAAUGGGCGAAAGCCUGACGGAGCAACGCCGCGUGAGUGAAGAAGGUCUUCGGAUCGUAAAACUCUGUUAUUAGGAAAGAACAAAUGUGUAAGUAACUAUGCACGUCUUGACGGUACCUAAUCAGAAAGCCACGGCGAACUACGU